UACAGAGGGUGCAGGCGUUGUUCGGAAUUAUUGGGCGUAAAGGGCGCGUAGGCGGUGCGGUAAGUCCGCAGUGAAAUCUCUGGGCUCAACUCAGAGUCUGCUGUGGAAACUGCCGUGCUUGAGUGUGGGAGAGGUAAGUGGAACUGCGAGUGUAGAGGUGAAAUUCGUAGAUAUUCGCAAGAACACCAGUGGCGAAGGCGGCUUACUGGACCGGUUCUGACGCUGAGGCACGAAAGCCAGGGUAGCGAACGAG
rnacentral:rRNA from 1 species